rnacentral:lncRNA from 1 species
UGGUUCUCAUAGAGGUUUCUGUUCAUCAUUUUCUGCUUUGAAGACAAUCUUGGGAGAGGCCACGAUGGCCCAUUAGAACCAGCUGCAGUGAGUAGUUCUCACUAAGUGAAAUGAAAACGGCAAGUGAAUUCAGCACCUUCAACUGAAAUAUCCAGGCUGUCUCAUUGGGACUGACUAGGUGGACAACUGGAUCCAUGGAGAAUGAAGAAAAGCAGGAUGGGAUGACAGCCCACAUGGGAGUGACAUGGAGCCAAAGGAACCCCCAACCCUGGCCAAGGGAAAUGGUGGUCUAGGCCAUAAGGACUACAACUCUUAGAUGAGUCCUAGUGCUGAACUAAGUCCAGAGACACUGGAUUGGAAGGCAUGUGACAUACUGAGACAUCAGCUGGUGCAGCCAAGGCAUCACCCCUCCCCAAACCCUAGGCUGCACAGCUCACACUCCAAAAGAGACUCUCUUCCUUCCGCUUUAGGAUAGGAGAGGAAAAAAUGGGAAGGACUUUCUUCGCAUCUUGGAUACUAGCUCAGCUACAGAAUGAUAGGGCACCAUCAGUGCUGCAAGGCUCCUGUUCCAGGCCCUAGCUCCUAGAUGACAUUUCUGGACACACCCUGGACCAGAAGGAAACUUGCUGCCUUGAAGGAAAGGAUGCAGUUGUGGCAGAAUUCAUCACUUGUUAACUGAAGAGGCUUUGGACCCUGAAUAACCAGCAGCGAUCCACAGGUACUAUGUUGAGGGCUUUGGGUGAGCCUCUGAGACUUGCUGGCUUUUGGCGAGACACAGCACAUUCCCAGCUGUGUUGGCUAUGGGGUAAAACUCCUGCUUGAGAAAAGCAGAAGGAAAAGUAAAAGAGAGUUUGUCCUGUACUGUACACACCAGCACGGGCACAGAGCGGUAGAGCAACACGCGAUGCCUUAGGAUCCCCGAUUCCAGGACUUGACCCUUGGAUGGCAUUUCUGGCGCUGCCCUAGAACAGGAGAAAGCCCACUGCCCUGAAGAGUGAGUCUCAGGCCAGGCAGCCUUGAACCUUAAGGGAACAUUGGCUAAAUCAUAGUUUGAUAGUACUCCUCAUGGCCUGGUGGCGAGUGCUAUGGAGUGAGGCUUCUCCUCUUUUGGAAAGGGGAGGGAAGAGUGGGAAGGACUACAUCUUGUGGUUUGAGUGCCGGUUCAUCCACAAUAAAAUCAAAUACUAAGUAGACGUCUAAGGUUUUGUACUCUAGUCCCUGAUUCUAUGGCACCUUUGCAUCCACCCAGGGCUUAGGCAACCUCAUUGACCUGAAAGGAGGGACACAGGCUUGAUUGACAUUGCCACUGGCUCAUUGUAGUACCUCAGGGCCUUGAUGUGAACACAGACAGUAGCCAGGCAGUAGUUACAGCAGGCCCUGAGUGAGACCCAAUACUGUGCUGGCUUCAGGUCUGACCCAGCACAGUAAUAAUGGUGGUGGCCACAGGGGUGAUUGUGUCAAUCCACCCUCAAUGUUAGAUGGCCCAGGAGAGAGGGAGGGG